rnacentral:tRNA from 1 species
GGCCAGGUAGCUCAGUCGGUAGUAGCGCAUCCCUGAAAAGGAUGAGGUCGUCGGUUCGAUCCCGACCUUGGCCACCA